rnacentral:rRNA from 1 species
AUUGAACGCUGGCGGAAUGCUUUACACAUGCAAGUCGAACGGUAGAGGGGGCAACCCCUCGAGAGUGGCGAACGGGUGAGUAAUAUAUCGGAACGUGCCCAGUCGUGGGGGAUAACGUAGCGAAAGUUACGCUAAUACCGCAUACGAUCUAAGGAUGAAAGCGGGGGAUCGCAAGACCUCGCGCGAUUGGAGCGGCCGAUAUCAGAUUAGGUAGUUGGUGGGGUAAAGGCUCACCAAGCCAACGAUCGGUAGCUGGUCUGAGAGGACGACCAGCCACACUGGAACUGAGACACGGGACAGACUCCUACGGGAGGCAGCAGUGGGGAAUUUUUGACAAUGGACGCAAGUCUGAUCCAGCCAUUCCGCGUGCAGGAUGAAGGCCCUCGGGUUGUAAACUGCUUUUGUACGGAACGAAAAGGUCUCUCUUAAUACGGGGGGCUCAUGACGGUACCGUAAGAAUAAGCACCGGCUAACUACGUGCCAGCCGCCGCCGUAA